rnacentral:rRNA from 1 species
AUUGAACGCUGGCGGCAUGCUUUACACAUGCAAGUCGAACGGUAACAGGCCGCAAGGUGCUGACGAGUGGCGAACGGGUGAGUAAUGCAUCGGAACGUGCCCAGUCGUGGGGGAUAACGCAGCGAAAGCUGCGCUAAUACCGCAUACGAUCUAUGGAUGAAAGCGGGGGACCGUAAGGCCUCGCGCGAUUGGAGCGGCCGAUGUCAGAUUAGGUAGUUGGUGGGGUAAAGGCUCACCAAGCCAACGAUCUGUAGCUGGUCUGAGAGGACGACCAGCCACACGGGGACUGAGACACGGCCCAGACUCCUACGGGAGGCAGCAGUGGGGAAUUUUGGACAAUGGGCGCAAGCCUGUUCCAGCAAUGCCGCGUGCAGGAAGAAGGCCUUCGGGUUGUAAACUGCUUUUGUACGGAACGAAACGGUCCUGGUUAAUACCUGGGGCUAAUGACGGUACCGUAAGAAUAAGCACCGGCUAACUACGUGCCAGCCGCCGCCGUAACAC